rnacentral:rRNA from 1 species
UACGAAGGGGGCUAGCGUUGCUCGGAAUCACUGGGCGUAAAGCGCACGUAGGCGGAUCUUUAAGUCAGGGGUGAAAUCCCGAGGCUCAACCUCGGAACUGCCUUUGAUACUGGGGAUCUCGAGUCCGGGAGAGGUGAGUGGAACUGCGAGUGUAGAGGUGAAAUUCGUAGAUAUUCGCAAGAACACCAGUGGCGAAGGCGGCCUGCUGGGCAGUUACUGACACUGAGGCGCGACAGCGUGGGGAGCAAACAGGG